GGAGAGCUCCUUGAUAGGCUGACUACAUUGCAGAUUUUCAACAGACAGAUUUCAUGCACCAUCCUCUAACAUACCUAAUCCUAGUUUCUAGCAGAAACAGGAUGCUGUGUCCAAGGCAGUGGCACAGAUCAGGCAGAGUUAUACUCCUAAAGACCUAUGAUCGGCUUAUUUGUGACAACAUGGUAAACAAGAGUUGGACAGCUUUCACCCUUCUUUGUUCAUUCUAAGAUGAGCCAUCUUCUCCAGCCUUCUUCAAACCACCAAGAAGCAACUCAAAGUUUGUCUGAAAUCCAGAUGGAAGAUUACAAAAUCUACAUAUCUUAAAUGAGAUGGAUGAGUAAUGCAGCUUACUUGUCUAAAUCACUCAGCAAUCCAAAUUACAUGCCACAUGGUACUCUUUA